rnacentral:rRNA from 1 species
CCUACGGGGAGCAGCAGUGGGGAAUAUUGCACAAUGGGGGAAACCCUGAUGCAGCGACGCCGCGUGAGUGAAGAAGUAUUUCGGUAUGUAAAGCUCUAUCAUCAGGGAAGAAGAAAAACGGUUCCUGACUGAGAAGCCCCCGCCAAAUACGUUCCAGCAGCCGCGGUAAUACGGAGGGUGCAAGCGUUAUCCGGAUUUACUGGGUGGAAAGGGAGUGUAGACGGCUUUGCAAGUCUGAAGGGAAAGCCCAGGGAUCAACCCUGGGACUGCUUUGGAAACUGUGGAGCUAGAGUGCUGGAGAGGCAAGUGGAAUUCCUAGUGUAGCGGUGAAAUGCGUAGAUAUUAGGAGGAACACCAGUGGCGAAGGCGGCUUACUGGACAGUAACUGACGUUGAGGCUCGAAAGCGUGGGGAGCAAACAGGAUUAGAUACCCGAGUAGUC